rnacentral:rRNA from 1 species
GACGAACGCUGGCGGCGUGCUUAACACAUGCAAGUCGAACGGAAAGGCCCUGCUUUUGUGGGGUGCUCGAGUGGCGAACGGGUGAGUAACACGUGAGUAACCUGCCCUUGACUUUGGGAUAACUUCAGGAAACUGGGGCUAAUACCGGAUAGGAGCUCCUGCUGCAUGGUGGGGGUUGGAAAGUUUCGGCGGUUGGGGAUGGACUCGCGGCUCAUCAGCUUGUUGGUGGGGUAGUGGCUUACCAAGGCUUUGACGGGUAGCCGGCCUGAGAGGGUGACCGGCCACAUUGGGACUGAGAUACGGCCCAGACUCCUACGGGAGGCAGCAGUGGGGAAUAUUGCACAAUGGGCGGAAGCCUGAUGCAGCAACGCCGCGUGCGGGAUGACGGCCUUCGGGUUGUAAACCGCUUUCGCCUGUGACGAAGCGUGAGUGGCGGUAAUGGGUAAAGAAGCACCGGCUAACUACGUG